rnacentral:snoRNA from 1 species
AGAAGGCUAUACGGACGCAGCCAUUUAUUACAUGAAACGGCUGGUCAAAGGUGUACCCAAAAAGAGCAUUUUGAAAAACAUUC